UGAUGACGAUGCACCCCACAUAGGGUUGAGAAAGAAUUCAUUUCUGUCUCUGGUGUGUGUUUGGAGAACAGGGUCCUCUGUAUGCCUUUUCCCGGCGGGAGUGGGGAACCCAGGCGGCCCCCAGGUGCUCGUCUAGGGAUGUGCUCGGAGGAUGGCGAGGCUCAGAGGAAGAUCAAUGCUGGCUGCUGGGUGUGGACUUCAGAUGGUGGGCAAGGAAGCUCACACUUUUCCUCCUCUGCACAAGGCGAUUCUGACCGUUGAAACUUUUCUCCUCAGGUAUGGGUCUUGCUCCAUGGAGGAAGAUGACAGCUCGGGAAGGGAGCAACCUCGGUGAUGAGCACUCGCAGGAACUGUGAGGGGCGGCUCUGUGAGCAGCUUUGUGGUGAUUUAUGGGAGUCGGGGGCUGCCGGAGAGGGAUGUGGGUGCCAUCAGCUCGGUGGAUUAAAUGCCCAUUUACAUUGUUAUUGACAUAUAAAGUAUCGGUGCCAAGGAGACGGUGAGGGAAAGGAUUUCUGGGGCAGUGAUGUGGCGCAUGCCCCAGGAUAUGGACUCGUCUCUCCCCAAAUCUGUCCUCUGGGCACUCAGGAGGCCAGGACUGGAGCUGGAGUAAAAGUCCCAAAUCCCAGCUCUCACAAUGCCGGAGCAGCCACCCUCAUUGCUAAGGCAGUGAUGGCAAGAGAGGUCCCUGAGUGGGUUUGAAGAAACCGGGGAGGCCUUUGACAAGGUCGUGUGGAUUUCCUCGGCUGGCAGGAGCCGCGUCUGGCCGCCUGCAUGCAUCGCUUUUGCCUGGGUUCUUUUAUUCCACUGUGGAUUUGGAAGCACCGCUGAAGAAGAGAGGGAAUUUUAUUCCUGGGAAAUGGAAUCGGUUUCUGAGUCCAGCCAGCAGCAGAAGAGAAAACUGGUUACCCACGGACUGGAAGAUCAAAAGAGGGAGUUAUUUAGUUAAAAAGGAAGAAACCAAACUAUAUAAACUCUUUUGGGGAGCUUUGCCUGCAUUGGCUGUGACAUUGAACAUCUCUCAUCACCCUGUGUGGAUGUUGACUUGGACAGUGGGAGAGACAAAGACAAAUGUGAGUUGACACAGGGUGUCCGUG
rnacentral:lncRNA from 1 species